CACAGUCAAACAGCUUGUCAAAUGGCUAGUCAAAUAGCUUGUCAAAUAGCUAGUCAAAUAGCUUGUCAAAUAGAUAGUCAAAUAGCUAUCACUUAUUUAUUCCUUGAAUAUAUUAUUAGAAUUCCGAAUAUUAGAACUAUUAUUAAUAAUCCACACUUCACUUGGAAUUCACUACUUUAAUCCAAAGAACAAAUUAUACUCACUAUUCACACUAUAUA
rnacentral:lncRNA from 1 species